rnacentral:rRNA from 1 species
AGAGUUUGAUCAUGGCUCAGAACGAACGCUGGCGGCAGGCUUAACACAUGCAAGUCGAACGGGUGUAGCAAUACAUCAGUGGCAGACGGGUGAGUAACACGUGGGAACCUUCCUAGGGGUACGGAACAACUCAGGGAAACUUGAGCUAAUACCGUAUACGUCCGUGAGGAGAAAGAUUUAUCGCCCUUAGACGGGCCCGCGUCGGAUUAGCUAGUUGGUGGGGUAACGGCCUACCAAGGCGACGAUCCGUAGCUGAUCUUAGAGGAUGAUCAGCCACACUGGGACUGAGACACGGCCCAGACUCCUACGGGAGGCAGCAGUGGGGAAUCUUGGACAAUGGGCGCAAGCCUGAUCCAGCCAUGUCGCGUGAGUGAAGAAGGUCUUCGGAUUGUAAAGCUCUUUUGCCAGGGACGAUAAUGACGGUACCUGGAGAAUAAGCCCCGGCAAACUUCGUG